GUGCUCACCUCAAGAACUCAUACACUAAACUUGUAACUAUACAGAGAAUAGCAUGGCCCCUGCACAAGGAAGUUAAUGCAAAUCCAUGAAUCAUUCCUUAUUUUU